rnacentral:rRNA from 1 species
CCUACGGGUGGCAGCAGUGAGGAAUAUUGGUCAAUGGGCGCGAGCCUGAACCAGCCAAGUAGCGUGAAGGAUGACUGCCCUACGGGUUGUAAACUUCUUUUAUAAAGGAAUAAAGUGAGGCACGUGUGCCUUUUUGUAUGUACUUUAUGAAUAAGGAUCGGCUAACUCCGUGCCAGCAGCCGCGGUAAUACGGAGGAUGCGAGCGUUAUCCGGAUUUAUUGGGUUUAAAGGGUGCGUAGGCGGGCGUUUAAGUCAGCGGUAAAAUUUCGGGGCUCAACCCCGUCGGGCCGUUGAAACUGGGAGACUUGAGUGGGCGAGAAGAAGGCGGAAUGCGCGGUGUAGCGGUGAAAUGCAUAGAUAUCACGCAGAACCCCGAUUGCGAAGGCAGCGUACCGGCGCCCGACUGACGCUGAGGGACGAAAGUGUGGGGAUCGAACAGGAUUAGAUACCCGGGUAGUC